AUUGAACGCUGGCGGCAGGCCUAACACAUGCAAGUCGAGCGGCUGAAGGGAGCUUGCUUCUGGAUUCAGCGGCGGACGGGUGAGUAAUGCCUAGGUAUCUGCCUGGCAGUGGGGGCUAACGUCCGGAAACGGGCGCUAAUACCGCAUUAGUCCUGAGGGAGAACGUGGGGGAUCUUCGGACCUCACGCUAUCAGAUGAGCCUAGGUCGGAUUAGCUAGUUGGUGGGGUAAAGGCCUACCAAGGCGACGAUCCGUAACUGGUCUGAGAGGAUGAUCAGUCACACUGGAACUGAGACACGGUCCAGACUCCUACGGGAGGCAGCAGUGGGGAAUAUUGGACAAUGGGCGAAAGCCUGAUCCAGCCAUGCCGCGUGUGUGAAGAAGGUCUUCGGAUUGUAAAGCACUUUAAGUUGGGAGGAAGGGCAGUAAGUUAAUACCUUGCUGUUUUGACGUUACCAACAGAAUAAGCACCGGCUAACUUCGUG
rnacentral:rRNA from 1 species